rnacentral:rRNA from 1 species
AAGAGACUUAGUCCUAACCUUACUGUUAGUUUUUGCUAGGUAUAUACAUGCAAGUAUCUGCGAUCCGGUGUAGACGCCCUGGAAACCCCAUCAAACCACGGGUAGAUAGGAGCAGGUAUCAGGCACACCUCAACCGUAGCCCAAAACGCCUCGCAAUUGCCACACCCCCACGGGUACUCAGCAGUAGUUAACAUUAAGCAAUGAGUGUAAACUUGACUUAGCCAUAGCAAAUCUAGGGUCGGUAAAUCCUGUGCCAGCCACCGCGGUCAUACAGGAGACCCAAAUUAACAUUAUAACGGCGUAAAGAGUGGUCACAUGUUAUCCAAGUAACUAAGAUUAAAAGGCAACUAAGCUGUCAUAAGCCCAAGAUGCCCAUAAGGCCGCUUUAUCAAAGAAAAUCUUAGAACAACGAUCAAUUGAAGUCCACGAAAGCCAGGGCCCAAACUGGGAUUAGAUACCCCACUAUGCCUGGCCCUAAAUCUUGAUACUCAAUCCUACCCGAGUAUCCGCCCGAGAACUACGAGCACAAACGCUUAAAACUCUAAGGACUUGGCGGUGCUCCAAACCCACCUAGAGGAGCCUGUUCUACAACCGAUGAUCCACGAUACACCCAACCAUUCCUUGCUCAGAGCAGCCUACAUACCGCCGUCGCCAGCCCACCUACCCUGAAAGCCCAACAGUGAGCGCAAUAGCCUAACCCGCUAAUAAGACAGGUCGAGGUAUAGCCUAUGGAAUGGCGGUAAUGGGCUACAUUUUCUAGAUUAGAACAUUACGGCAAAGAGGCGUGAAACCACCUCUAGAAGGCGGAUUUAGCAGUAAAGUGGGACAAUCGAGCCCUCUUUAAACCGGCCCUGGAGCACGUACAUACCGCCCGUCACCCUCAUCGCAGGCGACCAAACCCCCCCCCAUAAAUUAAUAAGCUAACCAGCUGGAGAUGAGGUAAGUCGUAACAAGGUAAGUGUACCGGAAGGUGCACUUAGAACACC